rnacentral:rRNA from 1 species
AGUCGAGCGGAAACGAUGGUAGCUUGCUACCAGGCGUCGAGCGGCGGACGGGUGAGUAAUACUUAGGAAUCUACCUAGUAGUGGGGGAUAGCUCGGGGAAACUCGAAUUAAUACCGCAUACGACCUACGGGAGAAAGGGGGCAGUUUACUGCUCUCGCUAUUAGAUGAGCCUAAGUCGGAUUAGCUAGAUGGUGGGGUAAAGGCCUACCAUGGCGACGAUCUGUAGCUGGUCUGAGAGGAUGAUCAGCCACACCGGGACUGAGACACGGCCCGGACUCCUACGGGAGGCAGCAGUGGGGAAUAUUGGACAAUGGGCGAAAGCCUGAUCCAGCCAUGCCGCGUGUGUGAAGAAGGCCUUUUGGUUGUAAAGCACUUUAAGCAGUGAAGAAGACUCCAUGGUUAAUACCCAUGGACGAUGACAUUAGCUGCAGAAUAAGCACCGGCUAACUCUGUGCCAGCAGCCGCGGUAAUACAGAGGGUGCAAGCGUUAAUCGGAAUUACUGGGCGUAAAGCGAGCGUAGGUGGCUUGAUAAGUCAGAUGUGAAAUCCCCGGGCUUAACCUGGGAACUGCAUCUGAAACUGUUAGGCUAGAGUAGGUGAGAGGAAGGUAGAAUUCCAGGUGUAGCGGUGAAAUGCGUAGAGAUCUGGAGGAAUACCGAUGGCGAAGGCAGCCUUCUGGCAUCAUACUGACACUGAGGCUCGAAAGCGUGGGUAGCAAACAGGAUUAGAUACCCUGGUAGUCCACGCCGUAAACGAUGUCUACUAGUCGUUGGGUCCCUUGAGGACUUAGUGACGCAGCUAACGCAAUAAGUAGACCGCCUGGGGAGUACGGCCGCAAGGUUAAAACUCAAAUGAAUUGACGGGGGCCCGCACAAGCGGUGGAGCAUGUGGUUUAAUUCGAUGCAACGCGAAGACCUUACCUGGUCUUGACAUAUCUAGAAUCCUGCAGAGAUGCGGGAGUGCCUUCGGGAAUUAGAAUACAGGUGCUGCAUGGCUGUCGUCAGCUCGUGUCGUGAGAUGUUGGGUUAAGUCCCGCAACGAGCGCAACCCUUGUCCUUAGUUACCAGCGGGUUAAGCCGGGAACUCUAAGGAUACUGCCAGUGAC